GUCUAUGGCCAUACCACCCUGAAUCUGCCCGAUCUCAUCUGAUCUUGGAAGCUAAGUAGGGUCGGGCCUGGUUAGUACUUGGAUGGGAGAAAGGUUAAAGAGUUAAAUGUGAAACAUGAACA
rnacentral:rRNA from 1 species